ACACCCUAUCCUUUAUUUAUUCCUUUUUAACUUUUUUCCCUUCUCCCUUCCCUUCUUAUUCUUUUCUUUUCCUUCUCCCCUCUUCCUCCUCCAAUUUUUUCUUUUCUUUUCUUUUCUAUCCGCAGCGUAUCAAUCCUCCCUUCUUCCUUUCCUCUUCUUUUUCUCUUCCUUCCCUAUUUCUUUCUUUCUCCUCUUUCUCCCUCUCGCUUCUCUUUCUCUGUUCCUUCUCUCUCCCACACGCUCCCACGCAGCCUCUCUUGUCCUCGUGAGAGAGGGGGC
rnacentral:lncRNA from 1 species